AUGACCAUCUGAUCACUCCAGUGUUAAUCUGCAAAAUUGUAAUUAUUCGCCUACCUCCUCAUGCCUUUUGCACACAAUGUAUAUAGACUCUUCUUUGUUCUACUGUGUUAUUGACUUGUUAAUUGUUUACUCCAUGUGUAACUCUGUGUUGUCUGUUCACACUGCUAUGCUUUAUCUUGGCCAGGUCGCAGUUGCAAAUGAGAACUUGCCUACCUGGUUAAAUAAAGGUGAAAUAAAAUUUAAAAAAUUAAAUAAAAAAAAACUAGACGUUUGUUCCCAUUUGGGGUGUGUGAUAUUAAUAUUGUAGUUGAUUUCUGUUUAUACUAUAAAAUAUCACUUUUUCCUGCUAACUUUUCAACAGAUCUACCGUAGUAGUUUGAAGAUAAACAGAAGUAAUAACAAAAGACAAAACAUGAAGUUGUAGUUGAAGUCAUCUUUAUUGUUUGGACAGUAGCUUGGUUUAGACUUUCUAACAGAACGAUCCGAAAGUACCCCUUCUGAUCUCAGACCAGUUAUUUGAACAGUAGCAGUUGGUUCAGAGGUUACUGAUCUCAGACCAGUUAUAUGAACAGUAGCAGUAACUGGUUGGUUCAGAGGUUACUGAUCUCAGACCAGUUAUUUGAACAGUAGCAGUAACUGGUUGGUUCAGAGGUUACUGAUCUUAGACCAGUUAUAUGAACAGUAGCAGUAACUGGUUGGUUCAGAGGUUACUGAUCUCAGACCAGUUAUUUGAACAGUAGCAGUAACUGGUUGGUUCAGAGGUUACUGAUCUCAGACCAGUUAUUUGAACAGUAGCAGUAACUGGUUGGUUCAGAGGUUACUGAUCUCAGACCAGUUAUUUGAACAGUAGCAGUAACUGGUUGGUUCAGAGGUUACUGAUCUCAGACCAGUUAUUUGAACAGUAGCAGUAACUGGUUGGUUCAGAGGUUACUGAUCUCAGACCAGUUAUUUGAACAGUAGCAGUAACUGGUUGGUUCAGAGGUUACUGAUCUCAGACCAGUUAUUUGAACAGUAGCAGUAACUGGUUGGUUCAGAGGUUACUGAUCUCAGACCAGUUACUUGAGUGUUAGCAGUAACUGGUUGGUUCAGAGGUUACUGAUCUCAGACCAGUUAUUUGAGUGUUAGCAGUAACUGGUUGGUUCAGAGGUUACUGAUCUCAGACCAGUUAUUUGAACAGUAGCAGUAACUGGUUGGUUCAGAGGUUACUGAUCUCAGACCAGUUAUUUGAACAGUAGCAGUAACUGGUUGGUUCAGAGGUUACUGAUCUCAGACCAGUUAUUUGAGUGUUAGCAGUAACUGGUUGGUUCAGAGGUUUGUUUUUACAUGAACAUUCAGUACAUUGACAUCAUUCACGGGGUCAGAAAAGCAAAGUCACAUUUAAUCAUCUACUCACAAAAUCAACAGUCAGCAAUAUCUCUCUCUCUCUCUCUCUCUCUCUCUAGCUCUCUCUCCUUCCCUCUCUCUCUCUCUCUCUCUCUCUCUCUCUCUCUCUAGCUCGCUCCACCUUUGUCCCUUCCCUCCCUCCUUGUUCUCUCUCUCUCCACAUCUGUCCCUCAAUCCCUGUCAUUCUAUCUCGCCCACCUUGUCUCCU